AGGCAGAGGGCCGGAUCCUGGGCUGUGUCCUUGCUCCCAGUGCUCCUGGGGCUGUGCUGUUGGAUUCCUGCUCCCGAUCCGCAGCCCCCU
rnacentral:pre_miRNA from 1 species